rnacentral:rRNA from 1 species
UAAUACGUAGGGGGCAAGCGUUGUCCGGAAUCAUUGGGCGUAAAGCGCGUGUAGGCGGCUCGGUAAGUCUGCUCUGAAAGCCUGGGGCUCAACCCUGGGAGGCGGGUGGAUACUGCUGAGCUCGAGUCCGGAAGAGGCGAGUGGAAUUCCUGGUGUAGCGGUGAAAUGCGCAGAUAUCAGGAGGAACACCAAUGGCGAAGGCAGCUCGCUGGGACGGUACUGACGCUGAGACGCGAAAGCGUGGGGAGCAAACAGGAUUAGAUACCCUGGUAGUCCACGCCGUAAACGAUGGGCACUAGGUGUGGGGGGUGUCGACUCCCUCCGUGCCGAAGCUAACGCAUUAAGUGCCCCGCCUGGGGAGUACGGCCGCAAGGCUA